GAUGAACGCUGACAGAAUGCUUAACGCAUGCAAGUCUUUGGCGAAGCUGUGCUUGCACAGCCUAGCCAAGGCGGACGGGUGAGUAACGCGUAAGGAACUUGCCCUGCAGUCAGGGAUAACAGACGGAAACGACUGAUAAGACCUGGUAAAGUCAGACGGACUCAUGUCCAGCCUGAUGAAAAGAGAUGCUGCAGGAGAGCCUUGCGUCCUAUUAGCUUGUUGGUGGGGUAACGGCCCACCAAGGCGAUGAUAGGUAGCCGGCCUGAGAGGGUGGACGGCCACAAGGGGACUGAGAUACGGCCCUUACUCCUACGGGAGGCAGCAGUGGGGAAUAUUGGACAAUGGGGGCAACCCUGAUCCAGCAAUUCUGUGUGCACGAUGAAGGUUUUCGGAUUGUAAAGUGCUUUCAGCAGGGAAGAAAAAAAUGACGGUACCUGCAGAAGAAGCGACGGCUAAAUACGUG
rnacentral:rRNA from 1 species